rnacentral:rRNA from 1 species
ACCGUGACAGGUACUGCAUGGCUGUCGUCAGUUCGUGUCGUAAGAUGUUGGGUUAAGUCCCGUAACGAACGCAACCCCUGUCUUUAGUUGCCAGCAUUAAGUUGGGGACUCUAGAGAGACUGCCAAGGUGACAACUUGGAGGAAGGUGGGGAUGACGUCAAGUCCAUAUGGUCCUUACAUCCAGGGCGAGAAACGUGCUACAAUGGUUGGUACAAUGGGGAGCAAAAUCGCAAGAUUGAGCAAAUCCUCAAAACUAAUCUCAGUUCGGAUUGGAGUCUGCAACCCGACUCCANGAAGUUGGAAUCGCUAGUAAUCGCGGAUCAGCAUGCCGCGGUGAAUACGUAUCCGGGUCUUGUACACACCGCCCGUCAAGUCAACCGAGUUAUUC